rnacentral:lncRNA from 1 species
AAAGAAGAGUGCACAGGAGCAAGGAGCGGCAUGGGUGCAUGUGCCCAGCGCCUCUGUGUGGGGUCUUCUCCUUCUACCAUCUCAUGACCCCUGGGUCUCUACAGACCUGCUUUCCACCCAAGGGGAAGAGAAAAGGACUGAGCAGAGGUGAAGGAGAACUCCAGGUCCAGGUGGGCUUUUUCCAUGGAGCCUGAGACUUAUGAUGCCAGGUGCCUGGACAAAGCUUCCAGGUAAGCAAUAGUGGUUGCUGGUGUCCUGUGAGCUGUCCCAGAAGGCCAGGUAAGAAGGUACUUCAUCCUAAUAUUUGGAAGUACGAGCUUCCCCAUGGUGGGAGGGGAAUAGAGAAGCCCAUGCAUUUAUUCUUUCUUUAAUGAAACACUGAGUGUCCACUAUGGGUCGGGUGUGUGCUAGCCACUGGGGACUAAAAUGGUUACUUGAUAUGUUUACUGAUUUGGUUUCCUAAAGAUGAGUGGUAAAAAGUGCCACAUGAGCUCAGAGAUGAGAGAGCCAUUUUGUCACUGGUUAAGAAGUCCCCAACUUCC